rnacentral:rRNA from 1 species
AUUGAACGCUGGCGGCAGGCCUAACACAUGCAAGUCGAGCGAGCGGCGGACGGGUGAGUAAUGUCUGGGAAACUGCCCGAUGGAGGGGGAUAACUACUGGAAACGGUAGCUAAUACCGCAUACCAUCAGAUGUGCCCAGAUGGGCUUGGCUAGUAGGUGGGGUAAUGGCUCACCUAGGCGACGAUCCCUAGCGGGUCUGAGAGGAUGACCAGCCACACUGGAACGGAGACACGGUCCAGACUCCUACGGGAGGCAGCAGUGGGGAAUAUUGCACAAUGGGCGCAAGCCGGAUGCAGCCAUGCCGCGUGUGGUAGGAGGGCCUUCGGUUUGUAAAGCACGUUCAGCGAGGAGGCGUUACUCGCAGAAGAAGCACCGGCUAACUACGUGCCAGCAGCCGCGGUAAUAC